rnacentral:tRNA from 1 species
GGGCGAAUAGCUCAGCUGGGAGAGCAACGGCUUUACACGCCGUAGGUCACAGGUUCGAGCCCUGUUUCGCCCACCA